CCUACGGGAGGCAGCAGUGAGGAAUAUUGGUCAAUGGACGAGAGUCUGAACCAGCCAAGUAGCGUGAAGGAUGACUGCCCUAUGGGUUGUAAACUUCUUUUAUAAAGGAAUAAAACGAGGCACGUGUGCCUUUUUGCAUGUACUUUAUGAAUAAGGAUCGGCUAACUCCGUGCCAGCAGCCGCGGUAAUACGGAGGAUCCGAGCGUUAUCCGGAUUUAUUGGGUUUAAAGGGAGCGUAGAUGGGUUGUUAAGUCAGUUGUGAAAGUUUGCGGCUCAACCGUAAAAUUGCAAUUGAUACUGGCAGUCGUGAGUACAGUUGAGGUAGGCGGAAUUCGUGGUGUAGCGGUGAAAUGCUUAGAUAUCACGAAGAACCCCGAUUGCGAAGGCAGCUUACUAAACUGUGACUGACAUUGAUGCUCGAAAGUGUGGGUAUCAAACAGGAUUAGAGACCCGUGUAGUC
rnacentral:rRNA from 1 species